UCACAUUUAUAUAUGUUCCAUAUAAAAAACAAACAAAUUUCUCAUUAACCACGGGAAACCGUAGUUGAUGUUGAUUAACACAUAAAAGAGUAUCCAAUAUGAUUUGUAUUUACGUAUGAAAAGGAUUUCCAUAUAUAUCCAAUGUGUAUCCAAGGCUUUAGUUUUUUAUUUUAUUUUAUUUAAUCAUCCAAUGACUUUAUAUAAUCAUAACAAUUCCAGAUUGAAUUAUCCAUAUAUAGUAUCGAUCAGCAUGUGAACUGGAGUAGUCCUUAUCAACUUCUAUUUCUUCAAUUUCCCGCUUGUACGCCCAAAAAGAAAAAAAGAAAAAACAAGAACACGAAAGAGAGUGGGAACAAAAGGAAUUUAGGCGGGACGAUUGGCGCCUGAUAAGAGCCCCAAUCCCUCAAACCUCGCUAAUCGAUUAGAUUAAAAGGGCGUUCUGCUUUUCACUGACCAAGGAAGCAUAGGGAAGUAGAGGGUUUGCGAAAUCGACAUGGCUGGGUUUUUAGGAAGCGGGUUCGUGUGCUUUUAGAGGAUGGUGACCAUCAACAAGAGGAACCGGUCUCAAAAGAGAAUGAAUCAGUCAACAGGGACACGAACCUAUAUAUGCUAGUUUGGCUCAUGAAUAUAACUUCUGCAUGGUAAAAAGCCAGAUAGAUGGGAAUUGUUCAAAUUAACACACCAAAAGGCAGGAACUCAAGAGCCAAUUGAUGCAGCAGGUGCAAAAGCAAUUGCGGAUUUUGAAGAGGCCGAACAAAAGAGGCUAAGCAUGAAUCAACACAUCACUGCUCCAGAAAUCCGUGAAGAAAUGUAUGCUGAGGUUCUUGGUAAGGAGAAGGGAAACUGAGUAAGGGGUCUUGGAGCUGGGGUUACUUGGGAUGAAGUUCCUGGAAUUCAUGUGGAAGAGCGAGAUGUUUCAAAGGAAGUGCAACUCUUGCGAGAGCGUUUAGAAGCACAAACCAAAGAGGCACAAGAGAGGGAAGCACGUCUGAUGGAUGAAUUACAAAGGAAAAUGGCCGAACAAACAAAAAAAAUGGAAGAAAUGCUUGAAGUAAGGUGUGUAGGCAUGGCGGUCCAAAAAAUGGGAGAGAUGUUUAAACAAUGUGGAAUAUCGGUGGAUACAUAAGAAGAUAUGGAGCAAACAAUGUCUCAAUUUGCUCAGCACAUUUCUCAAAGGCCGUCAAAUGUGAUUUUUUCACCAAAUGAUGAUGUUUACCGCUCCACAUUGCCAUUUGAAUGUGCUGAUAUGCAGACGGAUUGAAGACAUUGCUUGAAGAUGGUGGUCGCUCGUUCAACUCUAUCGGAAGUAGUUUGAUAUUACAAUAAAGAUUUUCGUAUUAGUAUUUCCAUUUUCUAGUCAUUUGAGAUUUCGGACUAAUUUUAAUUCUUGU